AAUGUUAAAACUAUGCAGAUAUUUCAGAUAUCAAAAUGUAAGAUUUACAUUGCUAUCAUCAUCUCCCGGUCAAAAUGUACACGAUUAUACUGUUAAAACUAGGAACAGUGAAAUAUUUAUGAAGCCAGGAACUUCUCUGAGGUCCUAGUGAAACUAGGAGCUGCUUUGAGCUCGUUGUGAAAUCAGCAGAAACUGCUCUGUGAGCUUCCCGGGAUUCCAGGAACUGCUUUGCGAGCUCCUUUGUGAAACUAAAUACUGCUCUCUUAAGCCUUCGUGAAACCAAGAACUGCUCUGAGCUCCUCGUGACUAGGAAUUGUGAAAUCAGGAUCUUGAGCGACUACUAGAUGUACAGUAUGGAUGUAACACAGCUGGGAGGGGUGCUAAAGGAUGUGUUCCGUGUGUCCCAGGAAAUACGACGAGUAUCUGACCCAGACAAAGCUCAGAUUAUCUGGGAUGGAAUAAAAACGGUGCGAGCUCAGAAACAGAUUCCCGCCCUCCCUCGGCUCUCUAGAUACAUGAACAGGAAUUAUAAACUAGAUAAAGAGACUACACAACGACUACUAGAUCUAGCAGUAGAAGAUAAUCUGAUAAAACUACACAAGAAAGUCGGAACUAAGGGGAAUAAAGCAGGAGUUGAAGAAGAUGCCUACAGAUUACCGACUGAGGAUAUGUUGCCGUUUGAGCGGCAUGAUUGGUAUUGCUUCCAUUGUCAUUCUGGUGGUGAGGUUAUACUGUGCAGGGACUGCCAUAGGGUUUAUCAUCAAAGCUGUCUUAAGGACGAGCUGAUCGACCAUUUAGUGUUCGUUUGUCAAUACUGUCGAGGCUUCCAGACAAUCCCGACAGAGUUCGAUAAAAACGAGAGACGAGAUCUUAAUCAUCUUCUUAGCAUAGUAGCAACAAGGUUAAAAGAAAAGAUGCCCCACAGUAUCCUAUCCCGUGCUCCUCCUCCCCCUGCUAAGAAUCCAUAUUUGACCAGUGACCGGAAAGCUACUGUAGGUGAGGGUGGGAUUGUGAACUCGGCUGACCGGGAAGCGUUUGCUAGUUUUGGUGAGGAGAAAUGGCGCGCUAAGUUUCUAUUAAAAAGACAUAUAGACCUUGACGAGGUUUAUCUUAAAGCACAGUCAACACAGUACAGAGUACCAGACGAAUUCAGAUCUGAUGUUCAAAAUAUUGUUCAUAAUGUUGUGAUCUAUCACGGAAACUACAGUACAAUGGCUGACCAGGCGAAACAGAUGUUUAGAUCUUGUAUAACAGAACUAGCUGAGAUAUCGGCCUGUAGGGACUGCUAUAGGUUUGCCAGCACACGAGGAGAUAAAUAUUGGUUUGCAAAACCCUGCAGACCCUUUCACGAGAUAGUAUACGCUCAACAGUCAGGGUACCCCUACUGGCCGGCGAAAGUUGUUGGAACCUCGGAGGACGGGGAGCUGGAGGUCAGAUUCUUCGGAGGAUACCAUCAGAGGGCCAGGGUCAAUAAGAAGGAUGUCAAACCAAUCUCUACAAAUGUUCAUAGUCUGCAAAUCAAGAAGACAAGUGGGUGGAACAAGGCUAGUGAAGAGCUGAGUAGGUAUCAGGAACUACUGGAUAAGUGUAAACACAACUCUAACUUCCUGACCAACUACUACGGGGACCCGUUCGACGGAGAGAAGGUGUCACAGCUUACAGGUGACAAGUUUGGUGGAGAUAGUGAAUCUGAUAGUGAGGAGGAUACAAACCAACCUGGAGAACCAGGCUCUUGUCUAGCUAAUCUAGAUUUCUCAGGUAAACCAAGAAACAAGGAUACAAACCAACCUGGAGAUUCGGGAUCUUGUCUAGCUAAUCUAGAUUUCUCAGGUCUACCCUCAACUCAACCUGUUUUGACUCCCCUGACUCCAAUCUCACGAACAUCUGGUCCGCAAACUCCAACCAAUAGAUUCCCAACCAAACUCAGGCGGAUAGAACCUAAACCUCUUGGAGGUAUGGAAACCACAACUGCUAGUGUUCCCAACAACAUCAAUCAACAACAAUCAAUGAUGUUGCCGUUAACAGUAGUUACUGUUCCACAGGUUUCACAUCAACAGAUGCAGAUUCAACAACACGGUCUUCAUCUGUCUGGUCUUACCCCUGGCCAACAUAUGCCUCAGCUGUCCCAAUCCCAACAGCUGUCCCAGUCGCAGCAGUUGUCCCAACAAAUAUCCCAGUCCCUGACCCCCCAGCAUGUUCCUCAAUAUCAUAAUCUUCAACCUCAGAUAUCUCAGCAUCAAUCUUUGCAGCAGCAUGUUCAGAUGCAGUCUCUCUCCUCCCCUCAUCAUCCUUCUCUUCAUAUACAGUUCGAUACAGGGUUGCAGCAUGAGGAUCUUCUAAAUAUUAGUCCCACUCAUCAUCUUCAGCAACCUCAGCUUCAGAUUCAUCUAGAUCAACAACAGAUACAACAAGAUCAACAGAUUCAACAACAGCAGUUACAACAGCAGCAGCAACAGCUUCAACAGGAACAGUUGAUACAACAGCAACAGUCUCAAGCAGAACAGCAACAAACACAACAACAGCAGCAGAUGCAGACGAUCAGCCAACAAAUUCAGAUUCCUUCUGAGUUUGGUGUGAAGGAUGAUCAGAACAAGCUGUUGAGACCUUUGGUCAAGGAGGAGCUUAGGGAGGAGGGGGAGGGAGACGAUGCUGUUUCAUCCAGUAGCCAUCUUACAAGGUUUGUGAGUGUAUCUGUGCAGACUCCCAACAAGUUAUUAAGAAUGGUUGCUGAAGAGAUUUGUGGGCAGAACAGGGGGAAACCAGCGGAUAAGGACUUUAAGGAGUUUGCCGAGAAGCUUCGAGCUGAAUUUGAUCAAGAGAAGAAGAGAGCUGUAAAUGUUGCAACAAGAAGUCUGGAGAGAGAUCUUGAGAGAUUAAAGGCGGACCACACAACUGAGCUGGAGAACCUAUCGGAGAAGCAAAGGGUUGAGUUGAGUGAGAGUAAGAGGAAGCAGUGGUGUUAUAAUUGUGAAUCAGAGGCUAUAUACUGGUGCUGCUGGAAUACAGCUUACUGUAGUACUGACUGCCAACAGUCACAUUGGCACAGAGAGCAUAAGCGGAUGUGCAGAAGAAAACGAUAAAUCUGAAACCUUGGUUUAUGCAACAAUCCUAUAAUUUAAUCAUCCUCUCCCCUUCCUUCUUAGUUAAAAAGAAACCUGUUUCAUCAGUAAUUCAGAUGCAUUAAAGGGACUGUGUGUGUAAUUUCAAGUGACCCUCCAUUCAAAGAUGUUAUUGUCCGAUCUUCAAUUGUUCUCUUGAAAGCUAUGUCUGAUACAGAAUGAACUAGAUAUCAAUGUUUUUGUUUCCUUAAACUGUUUUUUUUUUCAUUUGCGGUUUCUCUGCACAAUUGACUUGCGCAUUUCUUGUUUAUAAUAGAGAAACUCACUAAAAUAAACGCUUGACGAGUAAGACGAACGAUCGUCAGUUUCUUCCACACUUUACGGAUUCAAGGGUGCCGUUGUAAAUCGAGCAUUGUAAUCUUUCGAUUGAGGGUCACGUAGAGUAACUUUAAGAACUUGACCAAAUUGCUUCAAAUUGAAGGGGUUGUGACCUAAAGACAAUUUUACUUUUAAAGAUUUUAAAACUAGCUUUUCUAUCUUGUAACAUGUUUUUGAGUGUGAACUUCUUCAGUCAUUCUGGAAUUGAGUGUUUUAUAUCGUUGUAAUUAAACUAGACAAAUGUUUUUAAAUGUUUUUAGUCCAAUUCGCCAUUGAUGUUAAGAUUGAUCGUCUUUCAUUUCUAACAAUUACUUAGAAGAAAGUGUUAUUUUGAAAAUAUUCUAAUUUCAAAUUAGAAUAAAUCUCGUGUGUGAAACCAAAAUUGAUGCAAAAUUAUUGGAAAUUUUGAAAAAUCGUUUCUUAAUCAAGAUUAUUUUUGUAUUUGAAAUCUAACUCGUUCAGAAUUCAUUGAUUGUCAAGUUGUACACUGUACAGUUUUCCCCAUUCUUGUACUUUAUAGUGCUGAGAAGUACAGCUUUGAAUGUCAGUACGCAUUUUAAAACAUAUCUUAAAAAUCCUCGAAUUUCCUGUACAAUGUACAGGAAACGGUUAUCUGUGUACAAUAUGCUCCUUCUUAAGAUCUGAAAAAAUGUUUAUCUUUUUAAAUCCUGCAGGGUUCAGUUUUCAAGUCAUUUCAAGUAUGUAUUGUACAGUUUUUACAUUUUAUGUACAGUAACAAGAAGUUUUAUUUGCUUUUUUUAUUUCUAUGUAGUGUAUGUACAUAAUUAAAGCUAAUUUCCGAAAAAUCAAUAGAUCUAAAAAUGUGCGAACCAUCUUCCCUAAAAUAUCUCAAG